CCCAGACAACUAGGAUGUUGGCUUAGAAGCAGCCAUCAUUUAAAGAGUGCGUAAUAGCUCACUAGUCGAGUGACACUGCGCCGAAAAUGUACCGGGGCUAAACAUAUUACCGAAGCUGUGGAUUGUCCAUUGGACAAUGGUAGGAGAGCGUUCUAAGGGCGUUGAAGCAUGAUCGCAAGGACAUGUGGAGCGCUUAGAAGUGAGAAUGCCGGUGUGAGUAGCGAAAGACGGGUGAGAAUCCCGUCCACCGAUUGAC
rnacentral:rRNA from 1 species